CACACACACACACAAACACACACACACUACAACAAGUGCUGAACCAAACAGCAGUGUGGUCACAACACCGCACAGCAGAAGUGCCUCCUUUGGUGAAUGUAAUUUUUUUUUUCACUCUCUCAGCCUCUCAACUGCCGUGACAUCUGAUGGCUGAUGCUGAGCAGCAGCCAUUUCCGUAAGCAGUGAGUGAGGAGAAUGGGAAUAGAGGGAUGAGAGCUUGAUGGAGACAGAGUGGGAGAGUUGAAAAAAAAAACAGUGAAAGGGAGCGAAAGAGAGAGAGAUGUGGGUGGUUUUGAGCAGAGAGGAAAGAUGCUCUGCUCUGGAAGGCUGUGUGGGCGUUCGUUGCCGGCGAGGAGCUCAGGGAUGAGCCGAGCCGCCUGUGACCCUCUGUGGAGACUUUAACCCCUGGAUAACAGCUGCGCCGCACCUGGCCUGGACCAGAUCCCAGAGCCCCAAACAUGCAGGACUCCCACAAACCUCUUUCACAGCAACAGCAGGAACAAAUAGAUGCUAAGAGCACUCAGAGAGGCCCCGGAUGAAGAGAUGCCUACAGAUCAUCGAGUGGUCUUGAAAGCAUCACAUGAGAUCCUCUUGGAUGCACAUCAGAGGCAGCUCUUGUGGUGAAUUUUAUUCCACGGCUACCAGAACAUUGCUUCGAAAACAGAUUGUUCCAGUUGUAAAGCAAGAACAUAGAGACAAUGAGCAAACUGUUUUUUAUCAUCAGUGCAUGUUACAAGGUGCAUGUGUGCAAAAUGUGUAAAUGCACAAGUGUUCAUGGCUUGUAUCCUGUCAUAUAAAUGUUUAUAUUAGAUAGUUGACAGAAAAAAUGUGGUGAUUGAAGCAACUCUUAAAUCACCCAGUCUGAGAAAUCUGAAAAUCUUUGUGGAGACUUUUUUUAAAGAUUGUAUGCAAGUAUUUUUAACUCAUAUUUUUGUCACUGAAAUUGUUUUAAGGGAAGAAGCAAAUGAAUUUGUUUAAUUACUUUUGCGUUACUUUGUAACACAGGUCUGAGGUCAUGGUUCUCAGCCCCGAAUCGGGGAAGUGAGCUCUCAUUUUUGUAUCUCCUGCACAAACUAAAGUCAGCAUUAAAUAAAUAAAUGAAUCAAAUAAAAA